rnacentral:pre_miRNA from 1 species
UAUGUAUUUUCUCUGUCCGAAAAAACUUGUCCCAAGCUUGUUCCUCAAAUGGAUGUAUCUAGCACUAACUUGGUGCUAGAUACGUUCAUUUGAGGGACAAGUUUUCUCAGAUGGAGGGAGUAAUUG